CCUACGGGGUGCAGCAGUGGGGAAUAUUGGGCAAUGGACGCAAGUCUGACCCAGCAACGCCGCGUGAAGGAAGAAGGCUUUCGGGUUGUAAACUUCUUUUAAGGGGGAAGAGCAGAAGACGGUACCCCUUGAAUAAGCCACGGCUAACUACGUGCCAGCCGCCGCGGUAAUACGUAGGUGGCAAGCGUUGUCCGGAUUUACUGGGUGUAAAGGGGGCGUAGACGGUUAUGAAAGUCUGAAGUGAAAGCCCAAGGCUGAACCAUGGGAGUGCUUUGGAAAUGGUAAAGCUGGAGUGGAGGAGAGGUAAGCGGAAUUACGAGUGUAGCGGUGAAAUGCGUAGAUAUUAGGAGGAACACCAGUGGCGAAGGCGGCUUACUGGACUGUAACUGACGUUGAGGCUCGAAGGCGUGGGGAGCAAACAGGAUUAGAUACCCGAGUAGUC
rnacentral:rRNA from 1 species